rnacentral:rRNA from 1 species
UAGGGAAUCUUCGGCAAUGGACGAAAGUCUGACCGAGCAACGCCGCGUGAGUGAAGAAGGUUUUCGGAUCGUAAAACUCUGUUGUUAGAGAAGAACAAGGACGUUAGUAACUGAACGUCCCCUGACGGUAUCUAACCAGAAAGCCACGGCUAACUACGUGCCAGCAGCCGCGGUAAUACGUAGGUGGCAAGCGUUGUCCGGAUUUAUUGGGCGUAAAGCGAGCGCAGGCGGUUUCUUAAGUCUGAUGUAAAAGCCCCCGGCUCAACCGGGGAGGGUCAUUGGAAACUGGGAGACUUGAGUGCAGAAGAGGAGAGUGGAAUUCCAUGUGUAGCGGUGAAAUGCGUAGAUAUAUGGAGGAACACCAGUGGCGAAGGCGGCUCUCUGGUCUGUAACUGACGCUGAGGCUCGAAAGCGUGGGGAGCAAACAGG